CAGCCCGUCACACUAUGGCAGUUGGUCAUGCCCGAAAUCGUUACCUUAACCACAAGAAGGGGAUGUCGAAAGCAGGGCUAGCGACUGGAGUGAAGUCAUAACAAG
rfam:Gossypium arboreum cultivar AKA8401 contig_21388_1, whole genome shotgun sequence.